UGCUGUGUGGUGUAGUGGUUUGAGUGUUCUCUACAACUCUGGAGAUCAGGGUUCAAUUCCCUGCUUGGCCA